CCUAAUAGCAAAAAUAAUGCAAUAGAAUUAGAAUCUAUAAAUUCCUU
rnacentral:tRNA from 1 species